UUUCCCUCUUCUCUCUCUCUCUCUCUCUCUCUCUCUCUCUCUCCUCGGUUGUUCUCGCACCUCCAAACCCUCGCCAUGUGCCAAGGCCACCACCUCCACGCGUCCAUGCGGCGGCCGCCGCCGUCGCCGUCGCCGGAGUCCGGCGGGGCGCAGCCGCCGGCGAGGGAGGCGGAGGCGGCGCCGCUGGCAGCGGCGCGUGCGCGUUUGGCCGAAUCGAUCGCGGCGCUCGAGCGGGAGCGUGCCCGCGCCGCCGCGCUCCGCCGUCGCCUCGCGGAGUCCUACGCCGAGAGGGACCGCCUCAGAGAGGUGCUGGCCACGAUGAGCGCCCUCAAGAGCCGCCUCCGAGAGCUCGUCCGCGUCGGCGGCGACACCACUCCGUAGGGUCUCCGGUAAUGCGCCGUAAAACCCUAACCCUAAUCGCAUCUCAGUUCCACCUCUAUCUCCAGUUACAGAUGUUCAUGUUAGUGUUUGGUUAUAGCUAGUCACAUUGCUCCGGAUGUUGUUAAGCAUUUUUAUCUGGUUAUUGAUUUCCACGAACUCAUUUAUCGUGCUAUGCGUGGAAAAGGCGAUGACAUGUAGACAAAUUGGAUUAGAGUGAUAUAAUGUAAUGAGAUUGCUUGGUUUUGUAGACUUAUCAAAUUCAUGUAGAUUGCGUGUUGUGUAUGUGAAACUCUAUUUGGCAUCCAAUAGAAGAUUUAAUUGAGUUGAUUCUCAAUACAAUGAAAUCAAAUUAAUUGGAUUUCAAGGUGAAUUCUUCUGUUUGGAAUGCAAUGUACUGUAUAACCCAUAUGAGAAUCAGUAGGUUAUUUUUGUGUAGAGGAAUAUAUUUAUUCUCGAGAACUUCAAUUCACGGCAACUUGGAUCUCAGAUUGUCUUAUUUGCUAAAACUUGCUGAAUCAUUUUAAACUAUCAGAAAUCAUGUCGAAUCAUCAUAUUUGUGUAGGUUUUCAAACAACUGAUAUAGUGAAAUGUGAUAUGUUAGAGAAUGGGUAGAAAAAUUAAUCACACCGAUUGAAUUAGCAAAGUGCAAGUUUUGGGUCAAAUAGAAAAUUGAAAUGCAUAAUGUGACAAAUGAUUCAAAGGUGGAAAAUACGGUCAAAUAAAAAAAGAAUUUAGCAGAGCAUGCUGUGUACUUAUGUUGAUUGAAAGACCAUUCGAUCUAAAGGAAAAGAAUGCGCGCAUAGAUUCAUUUCAUCUAAACUAAGAGAUGGCAUAUAUAGUCCAGUAAUAAUGCUGCAUUAAUAAAAAGGUAAGAAGAAAGUUUUAAAGCAGCUCUUGCAGCCACGCUUCCAUAAUCAUCUUUCUCCAGCUUCUCUUCCAGGUAGUUGCCCUCAAUCCUGGAGAGAAUUGUCCUUUGUCUAUUCAAGAAAUUAAAAAGGGGCUUAUGGACAAUUCUUAUAUGUAAUUUGGAGAUUUAACAUUGUGCCGUGCUAUUAUUGUUCUCUUUGUUGUGUUAACCUGAUGUGUAAGCUAGUGUCAACAAGAACAGCAACAUCAAUCAUUGUCAACUUCAGAUAUUGGCGACUUUUAAACUGUAUGUUACAAGUAUUUAGUUUGUCUUGCUGAUUAUGAGCAUCAAAGGACCUCUUUUAUGCUGUGUCUGCUACUAGGAGUUUACAUGAGGAUUAACUGAAUACUUCCAAACCCACAGUUUUGCUUGGUGAGAAACUUAAAUAAUUAUUUGGAAGAUGGGGACUUCAAUCUCUGUCAAAACAGGUUCUGACAUCCAUUUUGGAAACUGACUGGUAAUAAAAGCUUGAGCCUUAGACAUAGGCUAUAAGAAGAGCAAACCCUGUAUAUCAUCUCUUGUGGAGUUAAACUUCAUAUGUGAGCAAACCAUUCUUUCUCUAUUUUCAUUACGGCUCUCCAUCAAGCCAUGGCACCUAUUCUCUACCUUGAUGGAUUGAAACUUAUUUAUGAUUCUGGUUAGCAUAUCACUACACGGAUCACUCCAUUGCUUAGUAGUGGAAUACCUAUUUGGAUCUGAUCCACUAAAACCUAUGGCGGUAUCUUUGUAAUUGUUGUUUACCUGCAGAACAAAGCUAUCUGCAUCAUAACGGCGUCUUCUGUCGUCCACCUCUCAAAAUACACUCCGUUCUUCAGCAGCGCAUCAGGUGAGACCAUUGAAAUGGUUUUCUUCUUCAAUUUCCAUUAUUGUUUAUUAGUUUUAGUGCUUGUACGCGGAAUUUGUUUGAUGACCCAUCUUUUAUUCGCUGUUUGCUCUAUUCACUUGUUUAAUUGUACCAAGGUUCCUAUUUCUCAUCCUUUUUAGGAGUUUUCAAUUUACUCACAAUCUCUUAAUUGUUACAAUUGGUUUGGUCAAUUUUGUGUCCCAUCAUGAUCUUAUCUUUUCUCAUCAAAACUCUGGUAAAAUUGGAAGAAAUUAUCCAUGCAAUCGUCAUGUACAAAGUCCAGAAUGGGGCCAAUUGUAACCAUCAGAGGUUUUGAAUAUUGGAUAGUUCUUGCAGUAG
rnacentral:lncRNA from 1 species